ensembl:lncRNA
AUGAAACUCCACCAGGCCAGCUUCCAAGUGUCCAACUGGAACUGCCCUGGGAAAAAGCUGUCACUGACAGGAGUCAGUGGAGCUGAAGGCUCUGUGCACAAUGGGCCCUGUGGGAUCAGGUGCUGUGCAGCCCCAGCUUUAUGUUUUCCACCACUAUGGAUGGGCAGUGCCAGGGGAUUUGCUGUGAAGAAGAAGUCUGUGACGGCAGCCACAGGCAGGUGUCAGCAGCAGAGGGCCAGGUGGUGCUGGAAGGGUCCUGUCUCCAGAUCUGUCAUCACCCAGGCUGCAGGACAGCUCUCUUCCUUCAGGGAAACUUCUGUCACUAUCAGAGGCAGGAUCCUGCAGAACUCACUGAGGGGAUUAGGGAACCUGCAGAGGCAUAAAGGGGAAAUUGUCAUGGAGCUUAAACCAAAGCUGGAGGUGACCAUGGGACCUACAGAGUAACUGCUCUGGGGGUUGCCCUGGGCUCCAGGGAAGCAUCUGUGACACCCCUGUGUCCCCUGGGACAGUGAGCAGCCUGUGUUAAGCUGGACUUCUGCUGGAAAGGGAUGCGAUCUCAUCCAGCAGGAGGGAUGUUUGUUUCUGUGAGCCUCAUUGGAGCCGAGACAACCCACUCAGAACAUGAAAACAUGGAGGCCACAAGUCCUGAGGCACCUUCAGGAAACACUUCAGCUGUCCUCAAUGCCUUCCCUCUCCAAAGCCUCUGCUUGGCACAAAGGCGCCACAUCUGACCUGAAAAGAGCAAAACAAAGAUGAUCAUCAAGUCUCCUUGGGUUCAAUGACCUGCCAGUCAGCUUAGCUAUGAUGUGGAUAAUUCUGAAUAUGAACACAGCCCCCCUAACGCUCCCCAUCCUGCAGAUAAGAAGUGCCAGCCUGGAUGAAGGAUAAAUAAGCUCGUCAUUAAGCUAAUGAGACCCAUAUGCUUGUGCAGUCAAACAGAAGUGAACUAAAUGCAUGUAAGAGCCAAAAAGCAGAUGAAUGAACCACGACAGACAUCCUGAAAUCAUGUUUAAAAUGCAAAUAUUGAUAUUUCUCACGCUUUUCUCCCAUAUAUAAAUCACAUCUAAAUAAGGUGUCUGGUAGAAGAGAACAUAUUUUGCCUUUGAGCUCAGAUGCAAACGAAGCAAACACAACUUGAGAGAAUACCUAGAGGCUGCUGUGAUUCCUGGAGACCACAGACAGUUGGAAGUCACAAACCAGACUUGCCAUCAUGAUGGAUGCUGAGCCUGAAAGUCAUUUAUAUGCAAAUCUGCACAAAAUAAUCAGAGGGGUGUUUUUUUUUUUCUAAAAAUGCAAACCACACAUUUUUCUCCUGCUAUCAAACUGUAAAUGUUGGGUGUGGGGAAUCCAGAAAUAGUUGCAGUCAGAAAGCACUUCAUUACCAGAGAAAUUAUCCUCUUUCUUCUUUCCAUGUUACUUGUACAGAAGAGAAAAAAGAAAAGAGAAACAAACCAGCAGCAUUAAUGAGCUUGCUAUUAUUUUUCAGUGAAGCUGUAACUCAGGGAAAACUUUUGCUGCUUUGUGAAAGGUUUGGGCUACCUGUUGCAAUGCACUUGCUCUGUAUUGCUGCUGGAAUUGACAUUUAUUGCUUUGUAGGUCUGCAAGAUCAACCCACCUUUUUCCACCGUUUAAUCAGGCAAAUUAUGUCUUAUACAUAGUGCUGGCAGAGGGCUACGAGCUUCAGGCUUUCCCCCUGGGAAAAUGUGCCAAAAUCCCUCUCCUUGCCUUUGAACGUGCCCCUUGGAGUGAAUGGAGCUCCCAGCUGAGUUUGUAUGGGUUAGAAGCAGCCACUCUGCCUGUGAGAGACUCUCAUUAUGCCAGGCAUGGUUGUGAUAGCACAGGCCCAGGGGUGCUGCUGCUUGUGAUUGAGAUUUGAAUUGUGAAUUUGGGGCCAGUAGGCUUUAAGGCCUCUUCCUACCCCAAACAUUCUGUGAUUCUACAAUAUAUCACAUGCCUGGGUUAUGGGAGCAAGCUGAGAGUGCUAAAUAAUGUUUGGCUCAAGGGCAGUCAGACGUGUUUUCUUAUCUGCUUUUCUUCUCAUAUAUACAUAUUUUUGCCUUUUGCCAAUAUUCUUGUUUUUCUGACCACCCUUUCAGGGAACCGAAAAAAAAGAGACACCCUUUAUCUUGGAUUCCUUUUGGACUAUCUUCCUGAAAGGCAAAAAGCUGUGAAUGCUCAUCAGAUUGAGUUCAACUGCCAGUGCCCCCUCAGCUGGCGGGCUGAGCUGGGCAGCAGGUACAGACACACUGUCAGAAACAGACUCUACACCCAGCACCCACAGUAGCAAGAGAUGGAAAUGUUUGGAAAAGACAGAUUUGGGUUUCAGCCGAGCAGAGAUUUUCACAAAACACAGUUUCAGGCUGGUAGCCCAGAGUUUACAGACUUUCUGCAUGUUGAAGUGGGAAGGUAGAGCUUUAAAGCUAUGAAAUGAUGAUAACUCAGCUCAAAAUGGAGAAAAUGAGUGUAGAAAGGGGCUGUGCUGGUUAGCACCAGCUAGGGACUUGGCUCCCAGCUCCUCUGUAUGAUCUGAUUGCACAAGUUGUUGUUGUGGUUUGUGUUUGUUUUGUUUCUAUCUCUGCUGUUCUGGGAUUUGACCACAUUGCAACAUCUCCACCUUGGUGCCUGCUGCAAAGGGCUCCUUGUGGUCCACAGCGCUCCUCUGAUCACUGAUAUAUGACCCAGCACGUGGGAUUAGGGAAUUGUGACCUAAGUGUUGCUUAUCAGGCACUUCUCCAGCCAAGUGUGGCACUAUCCCGUGCUGGCAUUGGCUGCCAGGUGAUUACAAGCCACUAAUGACAAUUUCCUUCCCUCAGAUCGUAUCGUAAAUGCAUUAAUAGAUCCCAGCAGUUGUUCAUAUCUUGCAUAGCAGGUGAAAGGAAAUCCCCCUCCUCUAGAUUAAGUGAAUUAAGAUGGGAAUGUCAUUCCUGCUUUACAAAGACUACAACAAAAGCUUUUUUAAUGGUUCAGGAUAGAGGGGAAUAGUUCCAUUUUCCUGUUUCUUCUCACGCAUCAAAAAGGUUCAGUUUGGGAGCUCAUAUUAACCAGCCUCAUGAAGUGCACCAUAUGUUUUAGUCUUUUUUAAUUACUGUAGCCUUUACAGCCUCAGCUAAAUGUCAUACUUAGUGCUUUGUUUUACAAUUAAAUCUCUCCUUUGGGGAGAUCCUGAAAUCUUUUUCUCUCAUCGUCUGUGCAGUGUAAAGGAGAACUGCAAAUUUACAUUACUCUAGGCAAACAACAGUUCUGUUUGGAAAAUAAACUUUAAACUAUUAUUAUAUCA